rnacentral:rRNA from 1 species
UACAGGAGGUCCCGAGCGUUGUUCGGAUUCAUGGCGUAAAGGGCGUGUAGGCGGUCAGGUAAGUGGGAUGUGAAAUGCCCCCGGCUCACCCGGGGACCGGCAUCCCAUACUGCUUGGCUUGAGUACGGGAGAGGAUGUGGGAAUUCCUGGUGUAGCGGUGAAAUGCGUAGAUAUCAGGAGGAACACCGGUGGCGAAGGCGGCCUGCUGGGCAGUUGCUGACACUGAGGCGCGACAGCGUGGGGAGCAAACAGG